CCUCGGGAGGCAGCAGUAGGGAAUAUUGCGCAAUGGGGGCAACCCUGUACGCAGCAAUGCCGCGUGAGUGAAGAAGGCCUUCGGGUCGUAAAGCUCUUUUAUGGGGGAAGAUGAUGACGGUACCCCAUGAAUAAGCACCGGCUAACUUCGUGCCAGCAGCCGCGGUAAUACGUAGGGUGCGAGCGUUGUUCGGAAUUACAGGGCGUAAAGGGCGUGCAGGCGGAUUGGCAAGCCGGAGGUGAAAGCCCGGGGCUCAACCCCGGAGGGUCUUUCGGAACUGCCAGUCUUGAGAGGGUCAGGGGCCAGCGGAAUUCCUGGUGUAGAGGUGAAAUUCGUAGAGAUCAGGAGGAACACCGGCGGCGAAAGCGGCUGGCUGGGGCCACUCUGACGCUGAGGCGCGAAAGCGUGGGGAGCAAACAGGAUUAGAUACCCUGGUAGUCCACGCCGUAAACGAUGGGCACUAAGCGUCCGACGGGUUCGACCCUGUUGGGUGCUGCAGUUAACGCGUUAAGUGCCCCGCCUGGGGAGUACGGUCGCAAGACUAAAACUCAAAGGAAUUGACG
rnacentral:rRNA from 1 species